rnacentral:rRNA from 1 species
AGGGAUGAAUGCCUUCGGGUUGUAAACCUCUUUCAGCAGGGACGAAGCGAAAGUGACGGUACCUGCAGAAGAAGCGCCGGCUAACUACGUGC